AAAGGAGAGGAGAAUCUUUAGGGUCUAGAGCUGACAAUGAGAGUUGGGGGAAACAGUUCCUCUUCUGAGCUGGGGAUGGGGUAGAACAGGCUUCUGCAGAGGAGUCAGUCCAUUCUCUGCCUUCCACUCCCUGUGGGUCGUGGUUCAGGCCAGGCCUUCUCCUGCACUGCUGGCUCUGGGCAGAGGGGAUCAAGCGUUUCCUGGAGGACACCACGGAUGAUGGAGAACUGAGCAAGUUCGUGAAGGAUUUCUCAGGAAAUGAGAGCUGCCACCCACCAGAGGCUAAGACCCGGGCAUCCAGGCCCCAAGUCCCGGAGCCAAGGCCCCAGGCCCCGGACCUCUAUGAUGAUGACCUGGAGUUCAGACCCCCCUCGUGGCCCCAGUCCUCUGACAACCAGCAGUACUUCUGUGCCCCAGCCCCUCUCAGCCCAUCUGCCAGGCCCCGCAGCCCAUGGGGCAAGCUUGAUCCCUAUGAUUCCUCUGAGGUAGAGCCUCCAGCCCUGCCUUUGCCUUUCAGUGGGCUGCUGCAGGAAGACCAGGGGGCAGGGAGCAGAGUGUGAGUGUGUGUGUGUGUGUGUGUGUGUGUGUU
rnacentral:sRNA from 1 species